rnacentral:rRNA from 1 species
GAGUCAACAUAGCAAUAUGUGGCAUACGGCUCAGUAACACGUAGUCAACAUGCCCAGGGGACGUGGAUAACCUCGGGAAACUGAGGAUAAACCGCGAUAGGUCAUCACUUCUGGAAUGGGUAAUGACUUAAACCUAUAUGGCCCCUGGAUUGGACCGCGGCCGAUCAGGCUGUUGGUGAGGUAAUGGCCCACCAAACCUGUAACCGGUACGGGCUCUGAGAGGAGGAGCCCGGAGAUGGGCACUGAGACAAGGGCCCAGGCCCUAUGGGGCGCAGCAGGCGCGAAACCUCUGCAAUAGGCGAAAGCUUGACAGGGUUACUCUGAGUGAUUUCCGUUAAGGAGAUCUUUUGGCACCUCUAAAAAUGGUGCAGAAUAAGGGGUGGGCAAGUCUGGUGUCAGCCGCCGCGGUAAUACCAGCACCCCGAGUGGUCGGGACGUUUAUUGGGCCUAAAGCAUCCGUAGCCGGUUCUACAAGUCUUCCGUUAAAUCCACCUGCUUAACAGAUGGGCUGCGGAAGAUACUAUAGAGCUAGGAGGCGGGAGAGGCAAGCGGUACUCGAUGGGUAGGGGUAAAAUCCGUUGAUCCAUUGAAGACCACCGGUGGCGAAGGCGGCUUGCCAGAACGCGCUCGACGGUGAGGGAUGAAAGCUGGGGGAGCAAACCGGAUUAGAUACCCGGGUAGUCCCAGCUGUAAACGAUGCAGACUCGGUGAUGAGUUGGCUUAUUGCUAACUCAGUGCCGCAGGGAAGCCGUUAAGUUUGCCGCCUGGGGAGUACGGUCGCAAGACUGAA